ACCUGCUGAAUUUAAGCAUAUAAGUAAGCGGAGGACAAGAAACUAAACAGGAUCCCCAUAGUAAUGGCGAAUGAACCGGGAUAAACUCAGCAUGGAAAUUGGGGCCUUUGGCUUUGACUUGUAAUCUGGUGAGGCAUUGCCAACAGAGGCGCAUAUGUAAGUCUCUUGGAAAAGAGCAUCAACGAAGGUGAGAGUCCUGAUUGUCAUGUGCAGCCCCCCUGUGCACGGUGUGCCUUCUAAGAGUCACGUUCCUUGGGAUUGGAGCGCAAAUUGGGUGGUAACUUUCAUCUGAAGUUAAACAAGGGUUUGGGACCGAUAGGAAACAAGUACCAUGAGGGAAAGGUGAAAAGGACUUUGGAAAGAGAGUUAAAAGUGCCUGAAAUUGCUGAAGGGGAAGCGAAUGGAACCAGUAGUGCUGGGUGAGAUUGUCACAUGCUACAAGGAUUGGUUGCUGCCACAACGCAAGUGUGAUGGCAAUUUGUGAAUUGCUAGUGUGUGGUGUGUCUUACCUAGUGGGUCAUUGUGGGUUUAUGCAUUAAGAUAAGUCAAAGCAAGCGGGAGCAAGUUUACGAGUUUGUGAAUGUGUGUUGUUAUGCUUGUGCGUAAGCUUUAAGGUUUGUCUGGCUGCAGGGCUGUCCAUCCUCGAGCUGAGGGUUGCGAUGAGCAUAACCUUCUGCGCAGAUCUUGACGAAAUGGUUUCAUUCGACCCGUCUUGAAACACGGACCAAGG
rnacentral:rRNA from 1 species